rnacentral:rRNA from 1 species
GACAUCGAUGUCUAGGGGUUCUGAGAGGAUUGUCCCCCACACUGGUACUGAGACACGGACCAGACUCCUACGGGAGGCAGCAGUGAGGAAUAUUGGUCAAUGGGCGAAAGCCUGAACCAGCCAUGCCGCGUGCAGGAUGAAGGUUCUACGAAUCGUAAACUGCUUUUCUACAGGAAGAAACCUACCCUCGUGAGGGUAGCUGCCGGUACUGUAGGAAUAAGCACCGGCUAACUCCGUGCCAGCAGCCGCGGUAAUACGGAGGGUGCAAGCGUUAUCCGGAUUUAUUGGGUUUAAAGGGUGCGUAGGCGGAAUAUUAAGUCAGUGGUGAAAUCCUGCGGCUCAACCGUAGAACUGCCAUUGAUACUGAUAUUCUUGAAUGUAGUUGAGGUAGGCGGAAUGUGUAAUGUAGCGGUGAAAUGCUUAGAUAUUACACAGAACACCGAUUGCGAAGGCAGCUUACUAAACUAUGAUUGACGCUGAGGCACGAAAGCGUGGGGAGCGAACAGGAUUAGAUACCCUGGUAGUCCACGCUGUAAACGAUGAUCACUCGUUGUUUGCGAUAUAUUGUAAGCGACUGAGCGAAAGCAUUAAGUGAUCCACCUGGGGAGUACGUUCGCAAGAAUGAAACUCAAAGGAAUUGACGGGGGCCCGCACAAGCGGAGGAACAUGUGGUUUAAUUCGAUGAUACGCGAGGAACCUUACCUGGGUUUAAAUGUAGGUUGCAUGAACGGGAAACUGUUCUUUCUUUCGGGACUACCUACAAGGUGCUGCAUGGUUGUCGUCAGCUCGUGCCGUGAGGUGUCGGGUUAAGUCCCAUAACGAGCGCAACCCCUAUCGUUAGUUGCCAUCAGGUCAUGCUGGGGACUCUAACGAGACUGCCGGUGUAAACCGUGAGGAAGGUGGGGAUGACGUCAAAUCAGCACGGCCCUUAUAUCCAGGGCUACACACGUGUUACAAUGGUCGGUACAAAGGGCAGCUACCUGGUGACAGGAUGCUAAUCUCUAAAGCCGAUCACAGUUCGGAUCGAAGUCUGCAACUCGACUUCGUGAAGUUGGAUUCGCUAGUAAUCGCGCAUCAGCCACGGCGCGGUGAAUACGUUCCCGGGCCUUGUACACACCGCCCGUCAAGCCAUGGAAGCUGGGGGUGCCUGAAGUCUGUAACCGCAAGGAGCGGCCUAAGGUAAAACUAGUAACUGGGGCUAAGUCGUAACAAGGUA